AUUGAACGCUGGCGGCGUGCCUAACACAUGCAAGUCGAGCGGUAACAGGUGUAGCAAUACAUGCUGACGAGCGGCGAACGGGUGAGUAAUGCUUCGGAAUCUACCCAAUGGUGGGGAAUAACCAGCCGAAAGGUUGGCUAAUACCGCAUACGUCCCACGGGAGAAAGCAGGGGAUCGCAAGACCUUGCGCCAAUGGAUGAGCCGAAGUCGGAUUAGCUAGUUGGAGGGUAACGGCCUACCAAGGCGACGAUCCGUAGCUGGUCUGAGAGGACGACCAGCCACACUGGGACUGAGACACGGCCCAGACUCCUACGGGAGGCAGCAGUGGGGAAUAUUGGACAAUGGGGGAAACCCGUCGAUCCAGCGACGCCGCGUGUGUGAAGAAGGCCUG
rnacentral:rRNA from 1 species